GUUUGAAUGAGAAGGAGCAGAUAUCACUCCGCCCGAAAGUUGAGACCUGUGUGUGUGUGUGUUUCAUGUUUCCAACACAGGUAUGUGGAUUUGUGCAUUAUUAUUAUUUUGUGAUAAAACGUUUUUGUUAAUGUAAUUUACCUUAUUAUUAUUUUUAUAUGAAUGAAUGUUUACUUCCUCUUCCUUCGGACGUUUGAAUGAGAAGGAGCAGAUAUCACUCCGCCCGAAAGUUGAGACCUGUGUGUGUGUUUCAUGUUUCCAACACAGGUUACCAAUAAAUACUGAACCGACGGCAUGGCGAAGUGUCCUUCAUUUUAAAAAAACUACACAACGCAGAAUGAGACUCACUACAUACACACAACAAAGGGCCACGGUGAAAGUGUUCCCCCAACAGGAGCUUCUAUGUGCUCGAAAGCAAGAAGCAGGCAACAAAUGCGUAACCUGCUGCGCUGCCACAGGCUCUCUGACAGCCAGGGUGGCAGACGGCUGGAGGAGGGGUGACACGUCGUCCGCUGCGACGCCGGCGUUUGGAGCCAUCUGAACCCUCGGCUUACAUCCAUCCCAGCAGAGCGCCGCCGGUAGGGACGCACACAUGCACGCAGAUACAAAAAAAAACGAGAAAAAAAAAUCAUUUUGCAUUUGGCAAGAACAAACAAGAAAGCGUUUAUUCUUUUUCCUGCGAUAUCCUGCGCCGAGCCCGUCUUGGUGCUCUCUUCCACUUUUGUUAUCGUUUGUUGGCUAGCGAAUACAUUAGUUAGUAGAUUUGGCCAAAUUGCUAAAAAAAAAUUCAUCCAUUUUACUACUGAUUGUCCUUUUCGGGGUCGCGGGGGUGCUGGAGCCUAGAUAGCUGAUCCUGAGAUCAGCUGCAUUCGGGCGGAAGGCGGGGUACGCCCUGGACAAGUCGCCACCUCAUCACAGGGCCAACACAGAUAGACAGACAACAUUCACACACUAGGGACCAUUUAGUGUUGCCAAUC